rnacentral:rRNA from 1 species
UACGAAGGGGGCUAGCGUUGCUCGGAAUUACUGGGCGUAAAGGGCGCGUAGGCGGGUCGUUUAGUUAGAGGUGAAAGCCCAGGGCUCAACCCUGGAAUUGCCUUUAAUACUGGCGGCCUUGAGUAUGGCAGAGGUGUGUGGAACUCCGAGUGUAGAGGUGAAAUUCGUAGAUAUUCGGAAGAACACCAGUGGCGAAGGCGACACACUGGGCCAUUACUGACGCUGAGG